UACGGGGGGGGCAAGCGUUGUUCGGAAUUACUGGGCGUAAAGGGCUCGUAGGCGGCCAACUAAGUCAGACGUGAAAUCCCUCGGCUUAACCGGGGAACUGCGUCUGAUACUGGAUGGCUUGAAUCCGGGAGAGGGAUGCGGAAUUCCAGGUGUAGCGGUGAAAUGCGUAGAUAUCGAGAGGAACACCGGUGGCGAAGGCGGCGAUCUGGACGAUGACUGACGCUGAGACGCGAAAGCGUGGGGAGCAAACAGG
rnacentral:rRNA from 1 species